GUGGCGCACGGGUGCGUAACGCGUGGGAAUCUGCCCUUAGGUUCGGAAUAACAGCUGGAAACGGCUGCUAAUACCGGAUGAUGACGAAAGUCCAAAGAUUUAUCGCCUGAGGAUGAGCCCGCGUUGGAUUAGGUAGUUGGUGGGGUAAAGGCCUACCAAGCCGACGAUCCAUAGCUGGUCUGAGAGGAUGAUCAGCCACACUGGGACUGAGACACGGCCCAGACUCCUACGGGAGGCAGCAGUGGGGAAUAUUGGACAAUGGGCGAAAGCCUGAUCCAGCAAUGCCGCGUGAGUGAUGAAGGCCCUAGGGUUGUAAAGCUCUUUUACCCGGGAAGAUAAUGACUGUACCGGGAGAAUAAGCCCCGGCUAACUCCGUGCCANCAGCCGCGGUAAUACGGAGGGGGCUAGCGUUGUUCGGAAUUACUGGGC
rnacentral:rRNA from 1 species